rnacentral:rRNA from 1 species
UACGUAGGGGGCAAGCGUUGUCCGGAUUCAUUGGGCGUAAAGAGCGUGUAGGCGGCCAGGUAGGUCGGUUGUGAAAACUGGAGGCUCAACCUUCAGACGUCGACCGAAACCAUCUGGCUAGAGUCCGGGAGAGGAGAGUGGAAUUCCCGGUGUAGCGGUGAAAUGCGCAGAUAUCAGGAAGAACACCAAUGGCGAAGGCAGCUCUCUGGGACGGUACUGACGCUGAGACGCGAAAGCGUGGGGAGCGAACAGG